UUCAAAUCAACAUCAACGCAAGAUUUUAAAGAUGGUGAUAUGAUGCGUUAGGGUCCCGGGCCAAGGAUCUUGUUUGGGGUCUAAGUGUAGAUGGUUGGGUAGGUGUUUGAGUGUUUGGGUUAGAUUUCUUUUUGUUUGCUCGGGUCAUUAACGAUUCGGCUCAAAGAGGGAGCCUUAAACCUCUUGAGUGUAAAGUGCUCAAAGACUGAAUGAAAUUCCAAGUUGAUUCUUCAUUGAUGUUUAUGCAAAUAUUUAUAGGGUACAUCAAAGGAUCAUGACUUGAUCAUGGCCACUACUUCCUAGAAUAAGGGAAAUAACAGAAUCUGAAAAAUACCCUCCUAAUAUAAUGGAAACACUAACAUAAUGCAUAAAGAAAUAUUCAACAAAUAAACUAGAAAUUGAACAUGACUAACUGCUUCAAUCCUCAACUUCCAUAAGCAUUACACGUGGCUGCUGCUUCUGCUGGUUACGAGUAUACACCUGCAAGGGUCUCGUAACAGUACUUCCCGCCUCAUUAGGAAGCUUGUCCGCAAGCGUAAAAUCUGGAAAGCGUGCCAGUAAAUCCUGAACAUUUUCCCAAGAGGAAUCAGCUGGGGAAGAUUGGCUCCAAUGGACCAAGACUUCCUGUUUUCCCGAACGACAACGCUGUCCCAAAAUAGCAAAUGGAACCAAAGGUUGCUGUUCAGUAAUAGGUGGGAGAAUCGUUUCAAAAUUUCCAGAAUCAGAAUGAUAUGGCUUGAGUGUGGAGACGUGAAAGACUGGAUGUAAUUUGGAAUCAGGGGGAAGCUUCAACCGAUAAGCCAUAGAGCCAAUGCGCUCCAAAACCUCAAAAGGACCAUAAUAUUUGGCAGCCAAUUUCUGAUUUUUUCUUAAGGCAAUGGAUGACUGACGGUAUGGCUGGAGGCGGAGUAGAACGACAUCACCAACAUUAAACUCCAAUGGCCGGUGAGAACGAUCAUAAUGAAGUUUCAUUCUGUUUUGAGCCAAUUGAAGGUUGUUGCGUAGGAGCUGCAACAUUGAGUCACGUUGCUGUAAAAUAACAUUCACAGUCUCUACAGUGGAAUUGCCGGGCAAGUAAGAAAGGAGUCUAGGUGGAGCACGCCCAUAGACAGUCUCAAAUGGAGUGGAUUUAAGAGCUGAAUGGUAGCUGCUGUUGUAGCAAAAUUCAGCCCAAGAAAGCCAAUCACACCAUUUGUGGGGGUGAGAACUAGAGAAGCAGCGUAAAUACAUUUCCACUGUACGAUUAGUGACCUCUGUUUGACCAUCCGAUUGUGGAUGAUAAGCUGAACUAAAACACAGUUUAGUACCAGACAACUUGAAUAAUUCAGUCCAAAAAAUGCUAGUAAAUGUAACAUCGCGAUCACUGACCAUGGUUUCCGGUAGUCCGUGAAGCUUGAAAAUGUUAUUAAAGAAAAUACGCGCAACACCCACAGCAGUAUAAGGGUGAGAAAGUGCCAAAAAAUGCCCGUAUUUAGAGAACCUAUCAAUAACGACUAGAAUCACAUUUUUGCCUCUGAAAGUUGGAAGCCCUUCAAUAAAAUCAAGAGACACAUCUGCCCAUAUUUGUUGUGGAAUCGGCACUGGUUGCAGCAGACUUGCUGGUUGCAAUGAUUCUGUUUUGUGGCGUUGGCAAACAGGACAGGCUCGAAUGAAUUCCUGCACCAUUUUUUUCAUCCCUUUCCAGAAGAAAUCCCAUGUAAUUCGGUGCAGCGUUUUCUGAUAUCCUUCAUGACCCUGAUUGUGAAGUGCAGCUAUAACUAGAGGUAUUGUUGGUGAGCCAUGUGGAAUAAAAACCCGGUCUUUAAAGAAAAGAAGACCUUGUUUGAAUGUCCAUAUUGCGGCAGCUGAGUGAUCAAGAACUGCUGAAAUGAGGUGCUGGACGUUAGGGGACUGCUGCUGUUCCUGGCGGAUAUCAUCAAACAAAUCCAGCUGGGGCAUAGAGAGAGCAAGAAAAUAUGGUUGAUCGGAUCUCGGCGCGACAGUGCAUCGGCCACAGUAUUCGACUUACCCGCCUUGUACUCUACCGUGAAGUCAAAAGGCAGUAGUUUGAUCACCCAAUACUGUUGUGAAGAGGAAAGUGACCUUUGUUCAAGCAAAAAUUUUAAGGUGUAAUGAUCUGUGCGCACCAAAAACUUUUUGCCCCAAAGAUAAGACUGCCAAUGUUUAAUUUCUCUGACUAGACCGAUCAACUCCCUUUCAUAUGCUGGCAAUUUGGUGUGACGGGUCGUAAGAGCUCGGCUAAAAAAUGCCACAGGUUUAGUCUCCUGUAAUAGAACAGCCCCAAUUCCUGAUUCAGAAGCAUCACACUCAAGAAUAAACAUUAGCUCAAAGUUAGGAAGAGCUAAAAUUGGAGCAGUGGUGAGUGCCCUUUUCAACUCUUCAAAAGCCUUAACCGUAUCAUCUGUCCAGUGGAAGGAGUUCUUUUGCAACAUAGCUGUGAGGGGAGCAGCAAUAAGGCCAAAAUUGAAGACAAACUUACGGUAGUAACCAGCAAGACCCAAAAAACCCCGCAAGCCUCGAAUAGAAACUGGUUGCGGCCAAUCAGUAAUAGCCGAAAUUUUGGAUUUGUCAACCUGAACGCCUUCAUGUGAAAUGACAUGACCCAAAUAAGAAACUUCCGUUUGGGCAAAGGUACACUUGGACCGUUUCAAGAACAAUUUGUUUUCUGCCAAGAGGCUAAACACUUGUCGCAGAUGUUGCAUAUGGUCAUUCCAAGAUUUACUGAAAACCAGAAUGUCGUCAAAGAAGACUAAAACAAAUUUGCGCAAGUGGGCAUGAAAUACCUCAUUCAUUAAAGCCUGGAAUGUGGAAGGAGCAUUUGACAGCCCGAAUGGCAUGACCAAAAAUUCAAAAUGGCCAUGGUGAGUUCUGAAUGCGGUCUUCUCAAUGUCUGGUGGAUGCAUGCCAACUUGGAAGUACCCAGAAACCAAAUCCAAUUUGGUGAAAUACUUUGCCCCUCCCAAUUCGUCCAGAAGCUCUUCAAUCACAGGAAUUGGAAAUUUGUCUUUGAUAGUUCUUGCGUUAAGUUCCCUGUAAUCCACGCAUAGGCGCCAAGUUUUGUCAGCUUUAGGAACCAGAAGUACCGGAGAAGAAAAAGGUGAUCGGCUGGGACGAAUAAUCCCUUGGUCCAGCAUAGCAGUACACUGUCGCUCGAUCUCAUCUUUUUGGUUGUGUGGGUAUCGGUAAGGAUGAACCACUACGGGUUUGGUAUUUGGAGCUAGAGGAAUCCUGUGGUCACAGUGGUGAGCAGGUGGGAGACCUGUGGGAGCUUCAAAGAUUGCAGCAAAAUCAGCUAAUAAUUGGCGCAGAUGAUGAUCGCGAGCAGCAGAUGGUGAAAGGGAAUUGAGGGAUGAAUUUGUUUCUGAUUUGCUGUCUAUACCCGUAAGAGCCACCUGUUUCCCAUUAACAAAGAAAGACAUCCACAUGGAGUUAAAAUCCCAUAAGAUGGGGCCCAGAGUAGCUAGCCAAUUAACACCCAAGACCAAGUCAAAACCAGUGAGCUGUAACACAAAUAAAUCCACCGUGAAAACAGAGUUUCCCAAUUCAAUCGGUGCGCCUUUGCAAAGACCAGGACUGUGAAGUUGUUCACCGUUCGCAACUUUCACCCGUAACCCAUCCUUCGCAUCCAUUGUAACCUGCAAAUCGGCCACCAUAGAAUCUGAGACAAAAUUAUGGGUGCUUCCCGAAUCAACCAAGAUCAGUACUUGCCUACCGUGCCAACAACCUAGAAGUCGCAUAGAUUGGGAAUUGCGAGUUCCAGUAAUGGCAUGGAGGGAGAUUUCUGGUGGAGAAUCGGAAUCGGACUCCGCAUCAGACUUACUGCCGUCAUCCAGAUCAAUAAAAAAUAAGCGUUUGCAUUAAUGUCCGCGUACAAACGGCUCAUCACAGUUAAAGCACAGUCCUUUCUUCCGUCUCUCAUCCAUUUCGUCUGGGGUGAGUCGUUUGAUGGCACGGCCAGGGCGGUGUUCUGAAAAGGGAGCAGGACGUCUGACCUCGCGUUGGGCAACACUCUUGGAGUAGAGCUUGCAUUCAUACAGGCGUGACAUACUCAUGGCGGUGGCUAAGUCUUUUGGCUGGUGUAGCUCGACUUCUACUGCUAUGUAUUCCUGUAAUCCACUAAUAUACAGCUGAACUUUCUGAUUGGAAUCUAAGGUACCAGCCCUCGAAACCAAAAUCUCAAAUUUAGUUUGAUAAUCCUCCACAGUUCCUGUCUGCUUCAAUUUGGCAAGCUCCCCUAACUUGUUGCUGCGAAUAGGGGGUCCAAAACGAAGAUUACAUUGGUCAACAAACUCAGCCCAAGUAGGAUUUGGAACAUCCUGGAUUAACUGUAAGUACCACAAUUGGGCAAUUCCUUCAAGGUGGUAAGAAGCCAGUCCCACUUGUUCAUCAUCAGGAGUGGACUGAUGCUUGAAGAAGUGUUGACACCUGCUAAUCCACCCAAGAGGAUCUUCCGUGCCGUUAUAGCGAGGGAAGUCCAGUUUGGUGUAUUUGGGCACAAAGGAGCAAUCGCGAGUAGUCACAGAACUGGUGGUUCCAAUUGUUCCCUUGUCACGCCUUGGUCGAGCUUGGCUUUCUGCUUCGGGAGAAGUGGAACGAGCCUGUUUAACUGAGUCUAAAUCAAGGGACAUGGCAUCUAUCUUAGCAUGGAGCUGCUCAACUUUAUCAUGGCGAAGUUGAUUAGCCUGCUGCUCAGAAAGGACGAUAUUGAGAAGUUUAGUAAGCUGGUCUUGAAUAGAGUCCCCCAUAACAGUCGGCUUUGAUACCAAAAUGUUAGGGUCCCGGGCCAAGGAUCUUGUUUGGGGUCUAAGUGUAGAUGGUUGGGUAGGUGUUUGAGUGUUUGGGUUAGAUUUCUUUUUGUUUGCUCGGGUCAUUAACGAUUCGGCUCAAAGAGGGAGCCUUAAACCUCUUGAGUGUAAAGUGCUCAAAGACUGAAUGAAAUUCCAAGUUGAUUCUUCAUUGAUGUUUAUGCAAAUAUUUAUAGGGUACAUCAAAGGAUCAUGACUUGAUCAUGGCCACUACUUCCUAGAAUAAGGGAAAUAACAGAAUCUGAAAAAUACCCUCCUAAUAUAAUGGAAACACUAACAUAAUGCAUAAAGAAAUAUUCAACAAAUAAACUAGAAACUGAACAUGACUAACUGCUUCAAUCCUCAACUUCCAUAAGCAUUACACGUGGCUGCUGCUUCUGCUGGUUACGAGUAUACACCUGCAAGGGUCUCGUAACAUGAUGCUUGUCCGAACGAAGUGGAAAAGAUUUCUUAAAGGAACUUAUGCAAGGUUAAGGAAAUAAGGCAGCGAAGAAAUUUAGCUUUGACACCGAUUGGAGCAGUCUAUGGCAAUAAUUGGCAGCAACUUAGCACAAAUAUUACAAUAAAGUAGUCGUCUCUGAAGCUG
rnacentral:lncRNA from 1 species